UGGGGGUAUAGCUCAGUUGGUAGAGCGCCGCUUACCCUAUGGCGGAUGUCAGCGGUUCGAGUCCGCUUACCUCCAGCC
rnacentral:tRNA from 1 species